CCAGGAACACCGUGUCUCCGUCCAGCAGAAGACACCUCUGCCUCCAAAUAGCUGCUCACUGCAGAGGAUAAAUGGGAACUAAGCCCCCAUCUGGUCAUAGUUCAUGCAGACAGGCAGACUCAGUUUUGUUGCUCCUGGUUUCUGCAACUCUGUUGUCCCCAAGAUGGAGAAAAUUCUUCUCUAUGGCUUGUUGGCAGUAUUUUUCUUCACUCUGGCCCAGGGCCUUUGGUGUUAUGACAGGGGAAGAUCUUUACGUGUCUAUACGGAAUGCUAUGCUUGCCCUGGGACUGAACAGUGUUANAAGACAGCCCACUAUUUUGAUAAUCAAUUGGCUGUCUGGGAAGCUGGUUGCAGCGGUAACAGAAAUGACUUGAUCAACUCUACCGUAAGAAUAUUUGGCAAAGAAGACACAUACAAAGCUGAAACAACAUACUGCAACAAGGAUGGCUGUAACAAAGGACCACCUGUUGACUUCUGAAGUCCUAGAGAGUGAAGUGGCUGUGGUGACACGCAGCUGGGAAGAAAAAUGGGAGUGGAUAUUCCACAGCUGCAAGAAAUCCCUUGGUGUGAUUUAAAAAUAAAAUGUAUGAAAC
rnacentral:lncRNA from 1 species